CCUACGGGUGGCUGCAGUCGAGGAUCUUUGGCAAUGGACGCAAGUCUGACCAAGCGACGCCGCGUGUGCGAUGAAGGCCUUCGGGUUGUAAAGCACUGUCGAGGGGGAGGCCUAUCCCUGGAGGAAGCACGGGCUAAGUUCGUGCCAGCAGCCGCGGUAAGACGAACCGUGCAAACGUUAUUCGGAAUCACUGGGCUUAAAGGGCGCGUAGGCGGGUGGUCAAGUCCGAGGUGAAAGCCUCCAGCUUAACUGGAGAAGUGCCCCGGAUACUGAUUGUCUCGAGGAGGGUAGGGGCAUCUGGAACUAGCGGUGGAGCGGUGAAAUGCGUUGAUAUCGCUAGGAACUCCAAUGGCGAAGGCAAGGUGCUGGACCUUCUGACGCUGAGGCGCGAAAGCCAGGGGAGCGAACGGGAUUAGAUACCCUUGUAGUC
rnacentral:rRNA from 1 species